rnacentral:snoRNA from 1 species
UUACAUGAUGAUCAAACACAUUACAAUUAUAUUCUGGUACCUCUUAUGCUAGAGUCCUUCGGGGCUCGAUGAUUUAACAGGACUUCUGAUU